AUGCUCAGGACGAACGCUGGCGGCGUGCCUAAUACAUGCAAGUCGAACGAACUCUGGUAUUGAUUGGUGCUUGCAUCAUGAUUUACAUUUGAGUGAGUGGCGAACUGGUGAGUAACACGUGGGAAACCUGCCCAGAAGCGGGGGAUAACACCUGGAAACAGAUGCUAAUACCGCAUAACAACUUGGACCGCAUGGUCCGAGCUUGAAAGAUGGCUUCGGCUAUCACUUUUGGAUGGUCCCGCGGCGUAUUAGCUAGAUGGUGGGGUAACGGCUCACCAUGGCAAUGAUACGUAGCCGACCUGAGAGGGUAAUCGGCCACAUUGGGACUGAGACACGGCCCAAACUCCUACGGGAGGCAGCAGUAGGGAAUCUUCCACAAUGGACGAAAGUCUGAUGGAGCAACGCCGCGUGAGUGAAGAAGGGUUUCGGCUCGUAAAACUCUGUUGUUAAAGAAGAACAUAUCUGAGAGUAACUGUUCAGGUAUUGACGGUAUUUAACCAGAAAGCCACGGCUAACUACGUGCCAGCAGCCGCGGUAAUACGUAGGUGGCAAGCGUUGUCCGGAUUUAUUGGGCGUAAAGCGAGCGCAGGCGGUUUUUUAAGUCUGAUGUGAAAGCCUUCGGCUCAACCGAAGAAGUGCAUCGGAAACUGGGAAACUUGAGUGCAGAAGAGGACAGUGGAACUCCAUGUGUAGCGGUGAAAUGCGUAGAUAUAUGGAAGAACACCAGUGGCGAAGGCGGCUGUCUGGUCUGUAACUGACGCUGAGGCUCGAAAGUAUGGGUAGCAAACAGGAUUAGAUACCCUGGUAGUCCAUACCGUAAACGAUGAAUGCUAAGUGUUGGAGGGUUUCCGCCCUUCAGUGCUGCAGCUAACGCAUUAAGCAUUCCGCCUGGGGAGUACGGCCGCAAGGCUGAAACUCAAAGGAAUUGACGGGGGCCCGCACAAGCGGUGGAGCAUGUGGUUUAAUUCGAAGCUACGCGAAGAACCUUACCAGGUCUUGACAUACUAUGCAAAUCUAAGAGAUUAGACGUUCCCUUCGGGGACAUGGAUACAGGUGGUGCAUGGUUGUCGUCAGCUCGUGUCGUGAGAUGUUGGGUUAAGUCCCGCAACGAGCGCAACCCUUAUUAUCAGUUGCCAGCAUUAAGUUGGGCACUCUGGUGAGACUGCCGGUGACAAACCGGAGGAAGGUGGGGAUGACGUCAAAUCAUCAUGCCCCUUAUGACCUGGGCUACACACGUGCUACAAUGGAUGGUACAACGAGUUGCGAACUCGCGAGAGUAAGCUAAUCUCUUAAAGCCAUUCUCAGUUCGGAUUGUAGGCUGCAACUCGCCUACAUGAAGUCGGAAUCGCUAGUAAUCGCGGAUCAGCAUGCCGCGGUGAAUACGUUCCCGGGCCUUGUACACACCGCCCGUCACACCAUGAGAGUUUGUAACACCCAAAGUCGGUGGGGUAACCUUUUAGGAACCAGCCGC
rnacentral:rRNA from 1 species